rnacentral:tRNA from 1 species
GCUUAGUUAGUAGAGCACAAGGCUCUUAACCUUAUGGACAUGGGUUUGAGCCCCAU